AUUGAACGCUGGCGGCAGGCCUAACACAUGCAAGUCGAGCGGAUGACGGGAGCUUGCUCCUUGAUUCAGCGGCGGACGGGUGAGUAAUGCCUAGGAAUCUGCCUGGUAGUGGGGGACAACGCUUCGAAAGGAACGCUAAUACCGCAUACGUCCUACGGGAGAAAGCAGGGGACCUUCGGGCCUUGCGCUAUCAGAUGAGCCUAGGUCGGAUUAGCUAGUUGGUGGGGUAAUGGCUCACCAAGGCGACGAUCCGUAACUGGUCUGAGAGGAUGAUCAGUCACACUGGCACUGAGACACGGUCCGGACUCCUACGGGAGGCAGCAGUGGGGAAUAUUGGACAAUGGGCGAAAGCCUGAUCCAGCCAUGCCGCGUGUGUGAAGAAGGUCUUCGGAUUGUAAAGCACUUUAAGUUGGGAGGAAGGGCAGUAAGCUAAUACCUUGCUGUUUUGACGUUACCGACAGAAUAAGCACCGGCUAACUCUGUGCCAGCAGCCGCAGUAA
rnacentral:rRNA from 1 species